rnacentral:rRNA from 1 species
AGCGAACGCUGGCGGCAGGCCUAACACAUGCAAGUCGAACGGAUCCUUCGGGAUUAGUGGCGGACGGGUGAGUAACACGUGGGAACGUGCCCUUUGGUUCGGAACAACUCAGGGAAACUUGAGCUAAUACCGGAUGUGCCCUUCGGGGGAAAGAUUUAUCGCCAUUGGAGCGGCCCGCGUCUGAUUAGCUAGUUGGUGAGGUAAAGGCUCACCAAGGCGACGAUCAGUAGCUGGUCUGAGAGGAUGAUCAGCCACAUUGGGACUGAGACACGGACCAAACACCGACGGGGGGCAGCAGUGGUGAAUCUUGCGCAAUGGGCGAAAGCCUGCCGCAGCCAUGCGGCGUGAAUGAUGAAGGUCUUAGAAUUGUAAAAUUCUUUCACCGGGGCCGAUAAUGACGGUACCCGGAGAAGAAGCCCCGGCUAACUUCGUGCCAGCAGCCGCCGUAA